AAAAACAUCGCCUCUUGCAACAAAUAGUAUAAGAGGUCCCGCCUGCCCUGUGACUCUCUGAGUUUAACGGCUGCGGUAUUUUGACCGUGCAAAGGUAGCGCAAUCACUUGUCUUUUAAAUAAAGACCUGUAUGAAUGGCAUGACGAGGGCUUAACUGUCUCCUUUCCCCAGUCAAUGAAAUUGAUCUCCCCGUGAAGAAGCGGGGAUAUAACUAUAAGACGAGAAGACCCUGUGGAGCUUUAAACACCAGAGAAGAGCAUGUUAAGCACCCAGCUUUUCAAAGUCUGGGUGAAACAAAAUGACUACUCCUCUAAUGUUUUUGGUUGGGGCGACCGCGGGGCAAUAAAAAACCCCCACGUGGAACGGGAUUACCCCUCCUACAACAAAGAGCAACAGCUCUAGUUAACGGAAUAUCCGACCAACAAUGAUCCGGCCAAGCCGAUCAACGGACCGAGUUACCCCAGGGAUAACAGCGCAAUCCCCUUUUAGAGACCUUAUCGCCAAGGGGGUUUACGACCUCGAUGUUGGAUCAGGACAUCCUAAUGGUGCAGCCGCUAUUAAGGGUUCGUUUGUUCAACGAUUAAAGUC
rnacentral:rRNA from 1 species